CAGCUCUGCUCAGCAGCUCAUUGUGUUCUAGAACCUUCUGAGAACAUCGAUACUGCUGUGCGCUUUUGAUUGUGUUGGUUACUCUGUGGCAAGUCGACAGUGUGCAGCUGCCCUCCAGCUCCUCUCCAUCUCCCUCUCCAUCUCCCUCUACUUCUAUCACAUCUGUCUUUACUGGCCCUUCUAUCCACUCUAUCUAUUAUUGGUUCUUUUCACCUCUCUCCUAUAACAUCUACCACUCAUCCCUUAAUAUAAGGUUUUCUAUCUCUCCUGUCAAAUCUAAUAAAUCUAUCUAAAUUUGAGGUUUUCUAUCAUUCUAUCCCUCUAAUUCUAUCCCGCUCUAUCUACAUUUGGUUCUGCACUUGUUGCAAGUUACCCGCUGGUUCUGGUUCAAAUAUUAUCAUACCCAUUUGUUCUGGUUCAAGGAUUAUUAUAUCCUACCCAUUUGUUCUGGUUGGAAAGCUACAGAUUACUGGUAUCUGUUUUGGAUUCAUGGGUUGAUUGGAACCUGAUCAUUCUGUUUUAUGGAUCUGUGAGUUUCUCUGCUCACACUUUUUCUACCUCUCCUGUCUCUCUCUCACACACAUUUGAUUUGGCCUUUUCAAUUGGCAAAAACCUUAUUGUAUUUUUGAAUUGUCCAUAUUGUAUCAAUAUUCUAUUUGGUAGCAGUCAUAAUUAAAUAAAUUAAGUGUUUUUUGUUCAUUAAAUUAAUUGAAAAGACUGGAAACACAUAAAUAACACACAUUUUGUUUAGCUUUUAUCACAAACAUUUGACUGUAAAAACUAAUUCAAAAUUAGAUCUGGUAAAUUUCCAAAUAUAUAAGUUGCUGUUAUAAAGUGUAUCAUUGAAGACAACAGUCUCUUGUUAAUGUACAUAACAAUAAAUUGAAGUCCAAAUCUAUAUUUAUACAAGAAAAGAGCUGUAGUUGUUCCAGGACCGUGUUGCUGUGGAGCUCUGUACCAAAAGGUUUGUUUUGACUGCAAAUAUAUUCACACCAGAGUACACAUAAUCAGUUUUUGUUUGUGCAAGUGUAAAAGUAAUUACACUACAUACAUUGAGUUAUUUGUCUCUGAUUCACAUAUUUGUACCUCAUCUAUAGAUCCACUCACAUUGUUUACAUCAACAAGUUUUGUACGUGCUUUAUUGUUGGUUAAAUCUUUAUGAAAUAAAUAAACAGACUGUAAGGAGAAA